rnacentral:lncRNA from 1 species
GAAAUUAAACCUGUUGAUGAAACCUCCGCUACUCGCCAGUCGCCACCGGAGGGCUACUCUUCGCCAAUAAUCGUUCCAUAUCCACUUUUCCACAAAUUACGUUUGUAUUUCAAGACGCUCAAUUGUGGGAGGCAGUUAGUUAUCUCUGGUGAGAUUUCGUACGUCAAACUCAAACCAGUCAAACGUCAGAAGAAAUUUUUGAAUUUGUUCCACGAAUUUUUGUGUUAUAGCAUGCCGUCACUUCUAGCUUCUAGCAUGUUUCUAGCUUGGGACACAGCUUGGGAUCCAAAUACAUUUCCAUGAAAAGUCUUCACAACAGGUUUACAUACUGCCGCUAUGACACACUGGAUCAUUAGUUGUUGAAGCCCUUCUCAGAACAAGUUCUGUGUUGCUCUCUAUUAUUUUUAUAUACCUUGUCAGAUACUACAUUUGCUGCCAUCUGUUCUGUGGACAAGACAUUGCUGCCAGUUAAGAGGUUGUUGUGAACAUCACUUGGGUUGUUAUUAAGGAAAAUGAUUGAUUAGAGGUUUGUCCCUCACUGAUUUUAAAUCAGGUUAACCCCUCGGCACUGUGCCAUAUCCAUUGGUGGAAAAUGAAAAUAUACAGAGUUGGAUUGACCUGGAGUAUAUGGAUUAUCAGUCUGGUAAAACUAUGAACUUCUUUGUUGCUGCCCAACGUACACAUGGAUUUGAUGCAGCCAGCUGAGGGCUUCAACUCUUGUUUAGUGUUUUAUGUUCGCGGUGUUUUAUGUUCGCGUUGUUGCUGUGUGAUGUGGCACGUUGUUGAAGCCUAUGCUGGUGAAAGAUCUUUCUUUUCUACAUCAAGUUCAAUUGACCGUUCCUUGGUGCUGAUGUUGUGUUACCGAAGUUGCAUCAUAUUUUGUUAAAUUGUCAUCGUGACUAUUU